GACUGAUUCUAUGUAACUAUCAAAAUUCAGUGGCCACGGUAUGUCACAGAUUUUUAUGAAACUUUGUGUGUAACAAUAUUAUGAUAGAUAUAAAACAAAAAGGACAUGCAAAGGUUUGACUUAGCAACGGUUGCCAUGGAAACCGAUCCUCUAACAACAACUGGACAAGAUAUGCACAUGUAUGUUAUAUUUUGAAUAAUCAAAAAUUAAACGCUAUUGUUUAUAAAAACAACAAUUGUAAAAAUUAUUUUGAGCUAGGUUCUAGCUUUUAGAAAAUUUUUUGUAUUUAUUUAAUCCUUGGAAACAAUAGAAAUAAUUAUUUUUAUGAUGUAUAAGGGUUUGAUAUAUGUAAUUUUUAGAGAGGGAUAAAAUAUAUUUGCCCAGUCAUUUGGUGUAAACUCACAUGCUAGUAAAAUGUAUUGAAUCUUACUUUAAAAAAGUACAGAAACACAUUUGUGGAGAAACCAAAGGUAAACACAUAAACCAGUAGUUUCCUCUGGUGCACAAACCAAAAUACACCAGAAAGAGUUAUUGCCCUUUGUAACACUCUCUUGUAUUGGAGAUAUGAACAGCCUUCAUUUGUUUUCAGUAUGGCAGGAGGUGGAAAUUGAGUUUUUAUUCAAUUUGUUCUUCAGAAGUUUAUCAAUAUCAGAUGCUCUUUGUUCACUUAAUUCACUACCACGAUCUUUAUCUUCAAUUGUGCUAAAGGAUUCUGGUUUAUUUCAUGGAAUACAAAUCCGUUUGAUCUUUGCCAUAGUCACCGGACUCUAGCAUCCAAUCGUCUACGUAUUCGUAGAAAAAGUAAAUGUUGUGGAAUUUAACGCUUUAUUACAUCACAUCCGACUAAAAAAAAUGACCAGGGAAACAGAAGGCUGACAGACAUAUUCAUAGAAAAUAUGAAAAAGCCCUGCCUGCUGCCGUGUUGGAACUUGUAUGGACCUGUAUGAGCAUCAUACUGUGCAAAUCACCUAAAGAUGGAGUUGACCAAGUUGCUGACUUUGAGGAGGUAAAUAUUCAGCAUUAAUACAUACACAUUGAAUACAUAAUUUGAAAUUCAAAUUUGAAUCCCAGUAUUAUAAAUCCUAAAACAAAUUAAUAGAUGUGGGGAAUGUGGUACAUUGGGUUUAGUUUCUUGGUUAUAGAGCCUGCAUGGAAACUGAAUUCUCUAGAAUAUUAAAUCACAGGAGACCAUCCAUUUUUUAUGCGACAUGAUGACUUGAAACGUUUUCAUCGUAACUUCCUAAAAAAAUUUUAUUACUUCACUUAAUUAGCAUACUCAAAAAGACUAGAUGUUUUGUUGUCAAUGACGCACAUAUAUAUGUACACAUGUGUAUGAGCUCAGUAUCAAUUGUAAAAAUGAUUAAUUCUAAUUAGGUCAAUGUUGAGAAUCACUCAAGUGACCUACAUGUUGCUAUUUGUGUGCGUCAGUCAUCAUAAGACGUUAAUUGAACAUUAAUAUUUUUUCUUGAUAACCACCCUUCCAAUUCUUUUCAAAUUUCUUUUAAGCAUCUUUGGGACAAGGGAAAUUAACAUAGAUUGUAAAUCUAAGUACUCUGGAUUGACGGUACUUUUAAAAAUGCUCUAUACCAAAAUUGAGAAUUUUGUUUUAGAACCAGGGUUUGAUUUCUUCAAUUUUAUGGAGAAAACUUUUUCAGAUAUACACUUCGUUAAAUUGUAGAGUUGGGGAAGGGGGGGGGGGUAUAAGUGUAUUUGACAUUUAUUUGUGUCCAAAUUAUGUAAUUAAUACUGAGGAUUUCAGUAGUAGUCUGUUUUUAAAACAACAGACACCUAGAAUUAAGAGCACAAUGAAAGCAUACAUGUGAUAAGGAGGGGGGGGUGUGUGACUUCAUAACAAUGCCUGAAAAUUCUUAACAAUUAAAUUUUAACAAAAAUUUUACACUAGAGAUGCCAAUUCAAGAUAAUUAACAUGCUUUGUUUAUUGGCAUCUGGUGUACAUUUAGCAACAAGUAGUGUUGUACAUUGUGAAACGAUAAAUUGAUAAUGUACAUGUAUGCGUUGGUUGUACAUGUGUUUUAGGCAUAUCUUAUUGCAUGUUUUGUUGUGUUUGGUUGUUGAAAAUAUUGAUAGAAAUUAAUAAUGAAGAAUUGCUGAUAUACUAAGGACAUCAUGAUUCUGAUCUAAAGAAAUUGAGGACUAGUUAAUAUUUACAUACUUUGUUACAUCAUGACCAUACAUUGCUUGCAAGAAAAACACACAUGGGCCACAUACAUGUAAUCAGUGACUAAGACAUUUUGUUCAGUUAUACUGUUUUCAAGCCAUUACACUUAAUUCUUAGAAAAAUUCCUUAACUGGCAAUUGAUUGCAAAUUUUCUAUUUAUUCCUUACUUGACACCAUCGAAUGACAGUAAUGUGAUGCGCGCUCCCUGUAAUCAGGGGGAAAUAACUCGUAUAGCAUUGUGAAAAAUGUAGCUCAUUGAUUAUAUUCAUAUACGUUUGAAAUAUUUUAUGGUUAUACAAGAUUUUUUACAAUAACUAUUGAAAAAGACUCGAACACAAUUUAUGUUCAUGUUAUGCAAACAUCUUAUUAAAUCAUUGACUCCGCAAAAUAUUAUGACAUCACAGGAGGGUGGAACUACCUUAAAUAAAACUGAAUGCUUAUGAAGGAAAAACAGAAAGGGGUACCAAAAUUGCGAAUUUCGAAAACACAGGGUUGUGAAUGUGGGUCCAAAAGAGUCAUAUAGUGUAUAACAUGGAUUUUGUAGCCCUUAGAGCUAUAGUGAUACUUUGAAUUUUUUUAAAUUUGAUUAAUACUCAGGUAACCAAUAAGGUUUGUGGACAUCUUGUUAAUUUAUGAGUAUUAACACUAUUAAUAGCUCUUCAAUACAGCAUAAACACAUGUAUACAAACUGUAUCAAAACCUAACAUCCUUUAGGCCAAUUCAACUUAAUUAGUAAGAUUAUCAUCCUGAGUCACCAAAAAGUAUGGGGCAGACUGUGGGAAGAUUUUAUUUUUUAAUUUUUAUUUUCUGAGAAAUAUAUUGAUGACAAACAAGUUUUUGUCAACAGAAGUGCAUAAUUUAAUGCCAGAUAUAUAAAUCUAUGUUAUUUCACAGAUGAUUUUUUAGGGGCGGGUGGGCGGGCAUGAUAAUCUAUCAACUAAGUAAUUAAGUGGUAAAAUUACUAUUCUAGCAUCAUGAAUGAUCUAGUACAUGUAAAUUUAGUUUAAUCAAAUUGAAUUAGGUGUGUACUGUAUGAAAAUGUGAAAAAUAAGAUGAACUUUUCAAUAUUUGUUCAACACAUUUUUUAGAACUUGAAGAGCAGAAUAUGCAUUCCAUGACUCUUAUGUAAUAUAGAAGACAACGAAGAGCUCUUGAGAAUGGAAAAAAAGCUGCGAGUUUUACAGUCAAUGAACACACCUCACGACACAAGUCCAUCCUGAUUCAGUAAACUGUUCUUCUAAGGAAACACCAUGACUUAGUUAAGAUCAAGUUUUGGUGUCAGAAGACUAAUGUAACUAAAACAUUGCAAAAUUAACCUGCAAGUGUCUUAUGUGAGCCUACUGAAUAAGGAUUCAUUACUGAACAGUUGAAGGAAAAUCACUAUUAUAAUGAUUUUUAGAAAAAGAUGAUUGUGUUGUUUGGAUAACAUUGUGAUCCAUGUUUGUUGAAUAAACAACUUUGCAAAAAUGAGUUGUUCUGUGUUAAUAUUAUAAAUUUACUAAUUACUGGUAUAUAGAUUACAGUAACACUGAACAAACUUCAAUAAAUUUUAAAGUUUCAUGCAGUUUCUGCAGUAGAAAAUGACACCUAUUGAUUUUCUGGUCCAAAGGUCACCAGGUGCAAUACAAUACUCUGUACAAUUGAUGUCUGACCAGUUUCUUCAGAACCCUUUGAUUGAUAGUGAUAUUUCAUACAGGGGUUGGUCACUGGUAGUAUAUGACCCCCAUUGAUUUUCAGGUCAAAAGAUUAAAAAUGGCAGGGGCCUCCGUGGCCGAGUGGUUGGAGCAUAGCGUUCAAAAUGACACGGCCUCAGUCGGCGCGGGUUCGAAUCCCGCUCGCGCUGGUAUUAAGUGAGAAAGUUUCCCAAUUUACUUUCGGAAGGUCGGUGGUCUCUUCCCAGGUACAUUGUAUCUGGGUUCUCACUUUCACCAAUAAACACUGGGCACCAUCAGAAAACUGAAAAAUUGUUGAGUGUGGCGGAAAAUAUCAAUAAAUCAAUCAAUUAAAAAUGACAAGGUGCAAUGUAGCUAGUACUCUAUGCAAUGGUGUCCCCCCAAUAUCUUGGGCCUGUUGUUCAAUUAUGAUAUUUCAUAUGUUGGUUGGUUAUGAAUAGUAGAUGACCCUAAUGAUUUCCAGGUCAAAGGUCAACAAAUACAAGGCAGUACAAUGAACAAUUUAUUGGUAUCUACCCAAUAUCUUGAGAAGACUUUUUAUAGUUAUUGAUAAUAGUUUACGUGACAAUACAGUACAUGUAAUAUAGCUCGUUUAUGGAAAUGAUUGCAAAAUCUACUUGGUGUUUGGGGAGGGGGGGGGGGGGUCCUACUGGAUUACAGUUUAUGUUUACAUGGUUUUUUUUAAUCACUCUAACUAAUUUUUAUUAAUAUGUUAAACUUCUCCAUGUUUAUUUUUGAAAUAUCAAUUGCUCAUAUUGUUCAUUUUAACCGAAAAUGGUGUAGGUUGUAUUAUUUGUCAUUAGUAUGAAUUUUUGGCAAAAUGCCCAAAUCUACAGUUUUCGCACUACAAUAGAUCAAUUGCACUACAUUUCACCAUUAAUCUUUUUAUAUAAAUUAGGAGUCUUUGAUAUGGACACCCUUUGAUGACAGUUGAUUUUGCUGUAUGUAUUUUCCAAAUUAUCUAAAUUCAUCAACGAAAUCCAACAAAAAAUCCCGUUUUGGCAAAAUGCCCAAAUCUACAGUUUUCUUACUACAAUAGAUCUAUUGCACUACGUUUCACCAUUAAUCUUUUUAUAUACAUUAAGAGUCUUUGAUAUGGACAUCCUUUGAUGACAGUUGAUUAUGCUGUAUGUAUUUUCCAAAUUAUCUAAAUUCAUCAACGAAAUCCAACAAAAAAUCCCGUUUUGGCAAAAUGCCCAAAUCUACAGUUUUCGUGCUACAAUAGAUCUAUUGCACUACGUUUCACCAUUAAUCUUUUUAUAUACAUUAAGAGUCUUUGAUAUGGACAUCCUUUGAUGACAGUUGAUUAUACUGUAUGUAUUUUCCAAAUUUUCUAAAUUCAUCAACGAAAUCCAACAAAAAAUCCCGUUUUGGCAAAAUGCCCAAAUCUACAAUUUUCAUGCUACUACAGAUCAAUUGCACUACGUUUCACCAUUAAUCUUUUUAUAUAUAUUAAGAGUCUUUGAUAUGGCAAUCCUUUGAUGGUAGUUGAUUAUGCUGUAUGCAUUUUCCAAAUUAUUUAAAUUCAUCAAUGAAAUCCAACAAAAAAUCACUUUUUGGCAAAGUGCCAAAUUAUAAUACAUUGGUACAGCGGUCAGUAACACACUCUUUACCAUAGGUGGAUAUAGAUAUCAUAAAUAAGGAGGGAAUUUUAUGGGGAAUCGAGAUUUGUGGAGAAAAUUAGUUGUCUUUUUCAAUUUUUUAUAUACCACAAGGACAAAACAUGGGCAAAACGGGCUGAAUUUUGCAGUUCAAUUAGCCCUCAUAGACUGCUGUCGGUUUCCAUGGCAACGGAUGGUAGAAAUUCGGUGGUGGGGUUGAAAUUAUGUAAGAUGGUGCAAGUAAAGUUAAUACUGUGAAAAUCAAAGAAAUCUGUGACAUUGAGUGGCCAGACCCUAUCUGAUUUCUUUGAUUUUUACAUAGAAUUGAUCUUAACAGUCACCUGAGUAUGUACAGUUUUGGACUUUAGAAAUUAUUGUUUGAUGUGUGUACUUUUCAUAUUUCUCCAUUUCUAUACGUUGUACUAGACGAUAUAUAUGUUGUUAAAACUGUCAUACAUAAUUGCUAAUUAAGAAUUAUUUUGUAGGUGAAUACGUUUUAUUAAAUCACAGUGAAAUGCAAUCUUUAUAUGAGUUCUAAGUGAGCUCUAGACAAAUGAGUUUUAGCGUUUUCAAAAAGGGUUCAUUGUAUUUUAUAGAUAAUUAUGAAACCGUUUACCUUCUAGAUGUCCAGGAGUAAAGAAGAUGGCAUUUUCAACACAUUUGGGACCUGACCCCGGAACCCAAGCGUCAUGACGUUUACAUUGCUCAUUAUAAUGAUAUUUUUCUGCUUGAUGUCCAGCAGUAAAGAAGAUUUUCUAUAGCACUUUCAAUGUAUACCAAUAUAUUACAAUAUAUUACCAAUCUAGUCCCACUCUGGUUUCUGAAACAUGAACUCUGUUUACCUGUUCAAGACAUAGGACUCAUAUAGGACUCACGGUGGGUAUGACCGGUCGACAGGGGAUGUUUACUCCUCCUAGACACCUGACUUCACUUCUGGUGUGUCCAGGGUCCGUGUUUGCCCAACUAUCUAUUUUGUGUUGCUUAUAGGAAUUAUGAGAUUGAUCACUGCUCCUUAUCUUAAUAAUAAACUGAUACCAUUUCUCCACUUACCGACAGUAAAGUAAAAAUGGUUCUAUAUUUACCGAUAGUAAGCUGAUAGUAGUCCUCCUUGCCAUUGUAAAAUCCAUAGAACGUGUCAAAACCUCUAUAAGUGGGGGUACACUCCCAACUACAAAAUCCAAGGUGCCACCUGAAAUUGCAAAACGUGAGUAAAGUUACUCAAACACUGUUGUAAGUUAGUGAUUUGUUACCAUAUUUAGAGAGGAAACAAUUGCAAUCGCUAAUUGGACCUCAUAUUGAAAUAUAGGUUGGUCCCCGAGGUUCUCUACAGCCCAGUAGCUAAGUACUUCGUUACUAGCUUGAAAAUACGGAUGUAUAUUUAAAUGCUGUGAUAAGAUUUAAAAAUUGAUUUCAAAAUUAAGGAUUAUCUCCCUCAUGCAAAGCUCUUAUCCUUAGACAAAUUUGACUCCACUUUUUGGCACACUGUUUUCCCCUAGUAUAGUUCUAGCAAGUUUAUCGUUAUUUCGGAUUUCAAACAUUUCGGUUGAGCAUCACUGAAGAGACAUUAUUUGUCGAAAUGCGCAUCUGGUACCGUAUAAGUUUUACAUUACUCAAAUCUUUCUUUUAUCAAUUCCGUUUUAAAUUCUGCAAUCUAGUCACAAUCCCACAUAUUACUUUUUCCUAAUUAGCUUUCAGUUAUGUAUAACAGAUGUCCAACAAGACUUUGAAAUGAAAUUGUAAAUCCAAAACUGAUAAAGGCAAGAUUGAUAGGCAUCGGAUCUAUUUUACCACUACCGUAUGAAAACUGCGAUGUUGUCGUAAAUGACAAUGCCAAUACUUCAAAAACAGUGAGAUCUGUAUUCAAGCUAUACAAAAUACAAGACAAUUUUGAUUAUAAUCAAUUAAAUUGACUGUUGUUUAAGUUUUACGCCCCUUUUAUAACUGCUGUGUUCAUAAUGAAGAGAAGCAGAUAUUUUAGGACAACGUUUCAUUACCACAAUUCCGCUGAUUUUUAAUCAAAAUUGAAUGGUAUUAAUAGAUAGACGGUUAAUUUCUAAAUUUCUAACUAAGCAAGAAUGAUUACCAUUUGACCAAAAUUAAGCCCUCUGAUUUACAUGUCGAUAAUGCCAUUACGUUAAAUACUUGCUUAUUGAUUGCGUUCCUUUUCAUGGUAGGCAAUCAAUCGUUGU